rnacentral:rRNA from 1 species
CGCUGACGAGCGGCGGACGGGUGAGUAACGCGUAGGAAUCUACCUGGUAGUGGGGGAUAGCCCGAGGAAACUCGGAUUAAUACCGCAUACGCCCCACGGGGGAAAGCGGGGGUCUUCGGACCUCGUGCUAUCAGAUGAGCCUGCGUUGGAUUAGCUAGUUGGUGAGGUAAAGGCUCACCAAGGCGACGAUCCAUAGCUGGUCUGAGAGGAUGAUCAGCCACACUGGGACUGAGACACGGCCCAGACUCC